GUACACUCCUACGGGAGGCAGCAGUGGGGAAUUUUGGACAAUGGGCGAAAGCCUGAUCCAGCAAUGCCGCGUGAGUGAAGAAGGCCUUCGGGUUGUAAAGCUCUUUUGUCAGGGAAGAAACGGUGAGAGCUAAUAUCUCUUGCUAAUGACGGUACCUGAAGAAUAAGCACCGGCUAACUACGUGCCAGCAGCCGCGGUAAUACAUAGGGUGCAAGCGUUAAUCGGAAUUACUGGGCGUAAAGCGUGCGCAGGCGGUUUUGUAAGUCUGAUGUGAAAUCCCCGGGCUCAACCUGGGAAUUGCAUUGGAGACUGCAAGGCUAGAAUCUGGCAGAGGGGGGUAGAAUUCCACGUGUAGCAGUGAAAUGCGUAGAUAUGUGGAGGAACACCGAUGGCGAAGGCAGCCCCCUGGGUCAAGAUUGACGCUCAUGCACGAAAGCGUGGGGAGCAAACAGGAUUAGAUACCCCUGUAGUCC
rnacentral:rRNA from 1 species